rnacentral:rRNA from 1 species
CGCUGGCGGCAGGCUUAACACAUGCAAGUCGAACGCCCCGCAAGGGGAGUGGCAGACGGGUGAGUAACGCGUGGGAACGUACCUUUCAGUUCGGAAUAACUCAGGGAAACUUGUGCUAAUACCGGAUACGCCCGCAAGGGGAAAGAUUUAUCGCUGAAAGAUCGGCCCGCGUUGGAUUAGCUAGUUGGUGGGGUAAAGGCCUGCCAAGGCGACGAUCCAUAGCUGGUCUGAGAGGAUGAUCAGCCACACUGGGACUGAGACACGGCCCAGACUCCUACGGGAGGCAGCAGUGGGGAAUAUUGGACAAUGGGCGCAAGCCUGAUCCAGCCAUGCCGCGUGUGUGAUGAAGGCCUUAGGGUUGUAAAGCACUUUCACCGAUGAAGAUAAUGACGGUAGUCGGAGAAGAAGCCCCGGCUAACUUCGUG